CUCACGCCGCACGUCUCUCUCUCCUCUCAUUUCUCAACUAAUUUGAAUUUCCCCGUCAUGCCUCACUUCUCUCUCCUCUCUCCCUUUUCCCUUAUCGUCCUCCUUCCUUUCUCAUCUCCUUUCCUCUCUCCUCUUAUCACCGACAAUGAGCACCACCGAGCAGCCCACACCGACCACUGACGCCGAGCACCAUCGAGCAGCCCUUCCUCUCUCCUCUUAUGAUUGCGGUGGUGGACAGCAGGGUGGUGGCGGCAGAACAGCACGGCGGUGGUGGCAGAUUAGCACGGCGGUGGUGGCAAAAUACCACAGCGGACAAUGUAACUCAAGUAAAAGAUUAUGGAGCUGCAACACGCCUCAGAGAAAACAUUUGCGACGCCUUGAUAUUCUGAUCCUACACUCGAUUUAGACAAAGUAUGCUGACGCUUGGAUGACCAAGACACGAGGUUGUCCCAAGGAAACAACAAUAGCCCAAUGUAGAUCGUCGGGUAUCGGGACAACCUCCCCAGUCACAGUCAAAGUCAGUGUAAGUAAUCAAUCGAUGAGAAACAGUCGGAUAUAAAUGUAACAUAACGCUGAAUGCGUUUCAAUGCCUCAUAAUGAGGUUCCCGUGGAUCAUGCAUAAAUAGACACACCUUUUGUACC